rnacentral:rRNA from 1 species
AUUGAACGCUGGCGGCAGGCCUAACACAUGCAAGUCGAACGAGUGGCGGACGGGUGAGUAAUGUCUGGGAAACCGUCUGAUGGAGGGGGAUAACUACUGGAUACGGUAGCUAAUACCGCAUACCAUCAGAUGUGCCCAGAUGGGAUUAGUUUGUUGGUGGGGUAACGGCUCACCAGGGCGACGAUCCCUAGCUGGUCUGAGAGGAUGGCCAGCCACACUGGAACUGAGAAACGGUCCAGACUCCUACGGGAGGCAGCAGUGGGGAAUAUUGCACAAUGGACGCAAGCCUGAUGCAGCCAUGCCGCGUGUAUGAAGAAGGCCUUCGGGUUGUAAAGUACUUUCAGCGGGGAGGCGUUACCCGCAGAGGAAGCACCGGCUAACUCCGUGCCAGCAGCCGCGGUAAUUC